rnacentral:rRNA from 1 species
CCUACGGGAGGCAGCAGUAGGGAAUAUUGCUCACUGGUGGACACCCUGCCGCCUCCCCUCCUCUUUUCUGAUGAAGGUUUUCGGAUUGUAAACUCCUUUUGUUAGAGAAGAUAAUGACGGUAUCUAACGAAUAAGCACCGGCUAACUCCGUGCCAGCAGCCGCGGUAAUACGGAGGGUGCAAGCGUUACUCGGAAUCACUGGGCGUAAAGAGCGCGUAGGCGGGAUAGCAAGUCAGAUGUGAAAUCCUAUGGCUUAACCAUAGAACUGCAUUUGAAACUGUUAUUCUAGAGUAUGGGAGAGGUAGGUGGAAUUCUUGGUGUAGGGGUAAAAUCCGUAGAGAUCAAGAGGAAUACUCAUUGCGAAGGCGACCUGCUAGAACAUAACUGACGCUGAUGCGCGAAAGCGUGGGGAGCAAACAGGAUUAGAUACCCCUGUAGUC